GCUGUCUUUCUGAAGCAUAAAAAUUAAUCCAUACAGAGAAUUAACCCAAGAUGCAACCUCUCCCUCUGCCUUCAAAAAUCCUUUCAUAGUAAAAUUACGCCAUCCCUCACAACUCAUUGUCUUGCUCACUCUUAAGCUGAUGAGCCAAUGAAGGCUCUUCCAGUUGUGUAAACAGCUUCUUGUUGAUACUCAUUGUUUGUCCUAGCAGAUGGAAUGCAUAGUAGCUUUUCUGAACUAGACAAAUUGGAUUGUUCAGCUCUUCUUUAUGGGUUGUGUUUUCAUACUUGAAUGGACACGCCCUAAUGUUCUCCCUGAAGUCUAAUACUUCAUGUAGGAUGCAGUAUUUUGGUUGGCACUUCUCUGGAACUGACAGGAGUAGCUCUUAUCGGGGGCAUCUCCCAUGUCUUCUGUACAACUUGCCUAGCAAACAAACCAUCUGGUGGUUUUACUUUUUUUUUUAAUCAGCGUUGCAUUGUGUAUUCUUUAAUGCUUUUAUUCUAUUAUAACCUUCAGUUCUUCUUAUCUUAUUGCUGCUUAACCAGUUAUUUUUAUAUCAGAAUUUAUACUUUUUUGUCCAAAAUGUAUUACUUUCCCUUGUCUCCGCUCAUAUUCAUCUUACAGAUUUCUUUGCCUUGGAAGCUGUGAUUUUGUUUCUAGAAGUUGAAAGGUGCAUUCUAUUUGUUUUGAACAUAACUCACUAUUGUAUUGUUUUCCAUAGCUUCUUACCCUUUUUUCCUCUCCUCUGGUCCUCAUUUCUUGCGUGAUGCCCAGCAAGUGGACAAAUCAUUGGGAUUAUGUCUAACUUACAUUUUAAGUAUUGCUUAUUUCUGUACUCCAAGACUGUAUACAAACCAUCCAACAUUCAAAAGAUAGGGAUGCAAAAUUAAAACUCUAAAAGCACCAAUCUGCAAAAACUGCAUUAAUCAUGGCAUGCUUAAAAUGUGAGUGUACGUGAACAUGAUUUUGGUAAACUUGCUCUUUUUU